UGAAUGCAUCUUGGCUUUCUAGAAACUGGAGAGACGGAGACAGCUGGUUGGCAUAAGAGCAUCGGCCUGAGAAUGUCAGAACUGAGGAAGAUUUGGUAGUGUGCCAAAGUGCUGGUUAUCACAGAGUUUCAUCUCAGCACAAAACUGCCCAGCUAAAGGAUGGUGAACUGAGUCCAGAAAUGAUAUCUUUUUGUUUUCUGUUUAUUCCUGGUGUUCCUGAGUACAAGGGGAUGGCCAAAAAAAUGAUGGUAUGGCAUGAUAGAAAGUGAAGACCUCUCUACACAUGACACUUUGUUAUGACUUCAUGGCGGUGUAGCAACAUGGAACAAGGUCCUACUCCUCCAGGAAGAUGAUGGAGAAUGCUGAAACUGUGCUCCAAGGCCACGAGAAGGAAAAGGCCUGGAUUUUCU